rnacentral:snRNA from 1 species
AGCUUUGCGCAGUGGCAUUAUCGUAGCCGAUGAGGUUCAUCCGAGGCGCGAUUAUUGCUGAUUGAAAACUUAUACCAAUACCCCGCCAGACGGCCUAUAUGGCCGGAUGUGCAAUUUUUCUUGGUCCUUCAUUGGA